AGAUACUCAAAAUAUUAAAAGAAAUUUUGAAUUCAAAGAAUCUACAAAUGCACAUUCCUUUGGAUGUCAGAAUGAUAGCAUCAUCACAGGUCACAUAGCCUCUGGGAAACUCCACUGCAUACUCCCCAUUGGAUGGGACUGAAAAAAGGCAAAUUGUAUCCUCAGUUCAGUUCAGUUGCUCAGUCGUGUCCGACUUUUUGCAGCCCCAUGAAUCGCAGCACGCCAGGCCUCCCUGUCCAUCACCAAUUCCCUCAGUUUAACCAAAUCAUAUCCUAGUUUGUUGCAAAAAUAGUUUUAACCCCACAGACCCCAAUAAGGGUCCUUUAAGACCUCACUCUAAGAACUGCUGACUAAUCCAAAUGUUGUCUUUGUUCUCGAUCAGGAAACAGGCUCAGCAAUGGGGAAUUGGCCUCUCUCAUCAGCUUCCCCACUCCCUGUCACGGCCACAGGUGCUUUCCAGCUCUCAAGAGCGCCUUCUCCUUUCCCUAUGCCCUGGACCUCUUCCUUUGUUGUUCACGGACUGCAGCGUGCCAGGCUUUCCCCAUGUACCUCUUCCUACGUAAGUGUAUCAGCAUUUGAUGGUCUAAUUCAUUCUAUUCUGGGUGGGAGGCUAAGUUGAUGUGACCAUUUCUUUUUUAAAAUUAAUUUUUAUUGGAGUAUGUGUACGUGCAUGCCAAGUCACUUCAGUCUUGUCCGACUCUGCAACCCCAUGGACUAUAGCCUGCCAGGCUCCUCUGUCCGUGGGGAUUCUCCAGGCAAGAAUACUGGAGUGGGUUGCCAUGCCCUCCUCCAGGGCAUCUUUCCAACCCAGAUAUGGAACAUGAGUCCCUCAGGUCUCUGGCCCUGGUAGGUGGGUUCUUAACCAGCUAAGCCAUCAGGAAAUCUGCUUUAUAAACUUGCGUUAGUUUCUACAGUACAGCAAAAGGAAUCAGCUAUAUGUAUAUAUGUUCCCUCUUUCUUGGAUUUCCUUCCCAUUUAGGUCACCACAGAGCGGUGAGAAGAGUUCCCUGAGCUACACCGUCAUCUCUAACUAGUUAUCUCCUCUAUGUACAGUAUCUGUAGUGGACAUGGCCAUCCCAAUCUCCAGAUUCAUCCCCCCCACCAUGUGACCAUUUAUAGUACUUACUCUGUGUGUGACCAUUUGGCAGGGGUCUCCAACCCUCAAAACAGAUCAAUACUGGUCCAUGGACCUGUUAGGAACCAGGCUCCACAGCAAGAGUUGAGCUGGUGAAGCUUCAUCUGCUGUUCCCCAUCGCUUGGAUUACCGCCUGAACCAUCAUCCCCUAGUCCCAGCGCCAGUCCAUGGAAAAACUGUCUUCCAUGAAACCAGUCCCCGGGGCCAAACUACGUAGAGAGCUGAUUCGACAUGGAAUUCUUAGUCAAGAAGCAGGCUCUUGUCCAGGCUGCUGCUGCUGCU
rnacentral:lncRNA from 1 species